UGUCCCAUUGAAAACAAUAGAUUGGGGCUUAGUCAUGUCUAGCUGACAUGGAUUUCUAAAGUAUUUACUUGGGCCUUUGCUAGAUUUUCUGGAUUGAGGUCAUUUACGGUUAUUUCAGCUGGUUUAAAAACCCUAACUAUGCUUGGCUAUGACCCUGCCCAGGUCUAUGAGGGCAUAGGGCUUGAAGGGGAAGCAGGCGAUGUCAAGUUGCAAGUCCAGCAAACAUUGUAGGGGUCCUUGGGCAACUCCAAGAGGCCUUGUUAAGGAAGACUGACAAAACAUACAAGUGAAACCUCAUAUAGGCAGACUAGGCCUGAAGUGUGCAAGGAGCUGGCUGGUUGGUUAGGACCCUCACCUUAGACUGCUACAGGCCCAUAAAAGAACACGAAGAAACAUGGAAGGUCUACAACAUUCCUUGUGAUGAUAAUUCAGUCUGGCAGGCUUGGAAUAAAGAUUCCAGGUUUAAAAUCCGAUGAAGAUGCAGCGGGGAAAAACAGCUUUUCUUCUCAUUUCAUCCAGAAGGUGGCAUCAUAUCAUGACUUUUCUUCCAUCGAAAGUGAAGAGGAUAUAUAACAAAAUAUAGAAUCUCUCAUGCUGAAAUUAAUACCAAUACAGUAGUUCCAUACGAAUAAUAGCUGAUUUUAAAAUAUAUUUCUUAAUAUACAUAAUCUUUGAAAGUCUGUGAUGGUAGUUAACAUGGUUACAAAUAUUAGUCCUUAUCUCCUGUAGUCAAAAUAAGGACUGUAAAUUUAGCUGCAUUUGGACCUAAUCACUAUAAUCAGGGUGCACAAUCUGCACAUUCCUCCUUCGCUCCUUCCUUCCUACUUAGUGGCGAAGCUAGUGACUAACUUAGUACCGUGGCACCUUGGUUUGCAACUGUUUUGGAUUACAACCAUGUCAAACCCUGAACUGUGUGUCCCUUUUUUUGGAUUACAACCCAUUUUGGGGGGGGAUUACAACCCAUAUUUUUGGGGAGGUCCCAUUGGUGAAAGCACACUUUGGGUUACAACCUGUUUUGGCUUACAACUGGAUCUCCGGAACAGAUUAUGGUUGUAGACCAAGGUAUCACUGUAUUACAACUGAAGCGGCACUCAUGUUUAGGAAUCAAAGUAUUGCUCCUCCCUUUUUCCCAGCAGAAAAAUAAAUCAUUUGCUCUGGUUCAGAUGUAACACAAGCAAGCCAGCCACCCCAUGGUUUGUUUCCUGGCUGGGAGGAAGGGAAGAACAAAUCAGAAGUGCUUGGGUUGUGUGUACUAGCACAGAGGUUGUGCAAUAGCCAUUGUUAACAGCCAGUGUUUUGUCUGAAUGUGCCCAGUGUCUGUCAUAAAUACAUUGCUUUGAGCUCAUUGUUAAUUCUGUUGAGUGGA